UACAGAGGUCUCAAGCGUUGUUCGGAUUUAUUGGGCGUAAAGAGCGUGUAGGCGGCCAAGCAGGUCCGCUGUGAAAACUCGAGGCUCAACCUCGAGACGUCGGUGGAAACCGUUUGGCUAGAGUCCGGAAGAGGAGAGUGGAAUUCCCGGUGUAGCGGUGAAAUGCGCAGAUAUCGGGAAGAACACCCGUGGCGAAGGCGGCUCUCUGGGACGGUACUGACGCUGAGACGCGAAAGCGUGGGGAGCGAACAGG
rnacentral:rRNA from 1 species